rnacentral:rRNA from 1 species
AGCUCCAAUAGCGUAUAUUAAUGUUGUUGCAGUUAAAAAGCUCGUAGUUGGAUUUCUGAUGGGAGCAUUCGGUCGGUUCCGCAAGGGAUUGCACUUGUAUGUCUCCGGUCAUCCUCGAGGGAAGUGUGUCUGGCAUUAAGUUGUCGGGCAUAUGACGCUCGUCGUUUACUGUGAACAAAUUAGAGUGUUCAAAGCAGGCUUAGGCCGUUGAAUACAUUAGCAUGGAAUAAUGAGAUAAGACU